CAGUAGCCGCGGGAAUACAGAGGGUGCAAGCGUUAAUCGGAAUUACUGGGCGUAAAGCGUGCGCAGGCGGUUAUAUAAGACAGAUGUGAAAUCCCCGGGCUCAACCUGGGAACUGCAUUUGUGACUGUAUAGCUAGAGUACGGCAGAGGGGGAUGGAAUUCCGCGUGUAGCAGUGAAAUGCGUAGAUAUGCGGAGGAACACCGAUGGCGAAGGCAAUCCCCUGGGCCUGUACUGACGCUCAUGCACGAAAGCGUGGGGAGCAAACAGGAUUAGAUACCCCGGUAGUCCCUGUCUCUUAUAC
rnacentral:rRNA from 1 species